rfam:Bombyx mori DNA, contig: Bm_scaf39_contig22814, strain: p50T/Dazao, build 2, whole genome shotgun sequence.
UUAACUCAAAUUUGUAUGGAGUUGGAACGGCUGCCUACGUUUGCCGCCAGGGGCGCUGUUCCAAUUGCGUACAAAUUUAAAUUU